UGUGAUUUCUACGGGCGUUUAGUAGUAUCUGACGACGGCGUGUUACCGUAAUCACAAAUACUGCGAAAACUACGUAAAACGGUGGCGCCAUCAUCAUGCCCCGGCCAAAAACUUCAAUGCGGAGGCAAGGCCAAGCCAAGUACGGGUCAUUGCCGUCAUUCACAACAGCCGGACGCCGAACAUCGUGCGCGGACGAUCGUUGAGGAAGAAGAACGAAGUGGUCGUUGUAAAUCUCGUGAAUGCACGUAGCCAGGUAAGCACAUUUCUGUUCGCACAUCCUGUUCUUUGCGAUUUGAGCGUGGUGCACCGUAUGCCUUGUUUUUGUUGAACUUAUGGGACACCAGUAAAUCGUGGCGUUUGCUGUGAGGCUUCUCCCUAGUUUCAGAUCUCCGUGUGUCAUGCGUCCUGGCUCGUAGGGUGAUCAAGGCGCUCUUAUUGUAAUGUAUCGUUGCGGAAGGUGCCCUUGUGUUUUUAACACUCUGAUGGGCUACGUUGACCACUGUAGACAUGUACAUGAAGCGAGCAGAAUACCGUGUUGUCAUGCAUUAUGUGUGUACACGGCGGCGAACUAUGCAACACUCAGAUGUCACAUUUUGGGACGUUACAAGAACACAUCAGGACGGUCGCCUCGAAUCGAUUUGCUCUCCAAAACCACGAAAGUAUGUCACGUCCAUUCGUGCUCGCGUCAGUUCACUACGAAUAUAGAGAUAGUGUCACAUAUGAAGCAGCACAUACGAAAGGGUCAUGAUCAGAUGUCCUUAUGAACGCUGCCAGAAGAAGUUCCGUGCCGUCUCCGCGUUUUGUGUGCACCUUCAUAUGUUCUUCCAUUGAAAAAAUAAAACUGUGAGUAUAAUCUCCUUUCUCUUUGCAGUGUUUUGAUGCCAGAGCUGACUGAUGGGUGCACAUGGCUCCUUCGAAUGUUCUUCAUUUGAAAAAAUAAACAUGUUUUGAUGCCAGAGCUGACUGAUGGGUGCACAUGGUUCCUUCGAAUGUUCUUCCUUUGAAAAAAUAAACGUGUUUUGAUGCCAGAGCUGACUGAUGGGUGCACAUGGUUCCUUCGAAUGUUCUUCCUUUGAAAAAAUAAACGGGUUUUGAUGCCAGAGCUGACUGAUGGGUGCACAUGGUUCCUUCGAAUGUUCUUCCUUUGAAAAAAUAAACGUGUCUUGAUGCCAGAGCUGACUGAUGGGUGCACAUGGUUCCUUCGAAUGUUCUUCCUUUGAAAAAAUAAACGGGUUUUGAUGCCAGAGCUGACUGAUGGGUGCACAUGGCUCCUUCGAAUGUUCUUCCUUUGAAAAAAUAAACAGUGAG